GCUAGCAUGCUUUGUAAAAGUGUUCAUAGAUAAAAAUCCAUACAUUAUUUUUUUGUUAAUUUUUUUAAAAUUUAAUAAAUUUUCUUCAUUUUCACGAAUUUUAUGGAUAAUCAGGGCUCUACUGUGUAUUUUUACUAUCGUGAUCAAAUAUAUAUAUAGACCACUAACAAGCUUCACAGGAAUUGAAGGAUUAGCCUGGUUUAAUUCCAAGUAUAAUAAUCCUGAACUUGAUUGGCCAGAUUUGAAUAUUCAUUUAUGGGGUUUCUCAGAUGCAAGUCACCCAGGAAGAGUUAUAAAUCAUGAAGUACGAAAUUAAUUAUCCCUAUUAAUCAAUUUAACAUUAACCACAUUACUUAUAUAUUGUUACUAAAGUCGAAGGAUACAUUAGAUUUAAUUCUUAGUUACAAUGUGCUAAAAUUGCUACAAAGCGAGAAUGAAUAAACGGAGAUGGAUACAUA